UACGUAGGGACCAAGCGUUGUCCGGAAUUAUUGGGCGUAAAGAGCCCGUAGGCGGUGUGUCACGUCGGCCGUGAAAACCUGGGGCUUAACUCUGGGCGUGCGGUCGAUACGGGCAUCACUAGAGUUCGGCAGGGGAGACUGGAAUUCCUGGUGUAGCGGUGAAAUGCGCAGAUAUCAGGAGGAACACCGGCGGCGAAGGCGGCCCUCUGGAUCGUUGCUGACGCUGAGACGCGAAAGCGUGGGGAGCAAACAGG
rnacentral:rRNA from 1 species